rnacentral:rRNA from 1 species
UCGGGAAUUUUGCUCAAUGGGCGAAAGCCUGAAGCAGCAACGCCGCGUGAGGGAUGAAGGCCUUCGGGUUGUAAACCUCUUUUCUCAGGGAAGAUAAUGACGGUACCUGAGGAAUAAGCCACGGCUAACUACGUGCCAGCAGCCGCGGUAAUACGUAGGUGGCAAGCGUUGUCCGGAUUUACUGGGCGUAAAGAGCGCGCAGGCGGUCGCAUAAGUCGAAUGUGAAAUCCCCCGGCUCAACUGGGGAGCGUCAUUCGAUACUGUGCGACUUGAAGGCAGGAGAGGGAAGCGGAAUUCCCGGUGUAGUGGUGAAAUGCGUAGAUAUCGGGAGGAACACCAGUGGCGAAGGCGGCUUCCUGGCCUGUUCUUGACGCUGAGGCGCGAAAGCCAGGGGAGCAAACGGG